AGAGUUUGAUCAUGGCUCAGGAUGCACGCUGGCGGCGUGCCUAAUACAUGCAAGUCGAACGCUUUGUGCUUAAUUGAUAUGAUGAGCUUGCUCUGAUUUGAUUUUUUGAUUUCAAAGAGUGGCGAACGGGUGAGUAACACGUGGGUAACCUACCUCUUAGCAGGGGAUAACAUUUGGAAACAAGUGCUAAUACCGUAUAAUACCAACAACCGCAUGGUUGUUGGUUGAAAGAUGGUUCUGCUAUCACUAAGAGAUGGACCCGCGGUGCAUUAGCUAGUUGGUAAGGUAAUGGCUUACCAAGGCAAUGAUGCAUAGCCGAGUUGAGAGACUGAUCGGCCACAAUGGGACUGAGACACGGCCCAUACUCCUACGGGAGGCAGCAGUAGGGAAUCUUCCACAAUGGGCGCAAGCCUGAUGGAGCAACGCCGCGUGUGUGAUGAAGGGUUUCGGCUCGUAAAACACUGUUAUAAGAGAAGAACGGCACUGAGAGUAACUGUUCAGUGUGUGACGGUAUCUUACCAGAAAGGAACGGCUAAAUACGUGCCAGCAGCCGCGGUAAUACGUAUGUUCCAAGCGUUAUCCGGAUUUAUUGGGCGUAAAGCGAGCGCAGACGGUUAUUUAAGUCUGAAGUGAAAGCCCUCAGCUCAACUGAGGAAUUGCUUUGGAAACUGGAUGACUUGAGUGCAGUAGAGGAAAGUGGAACUCCAUGUGUAGCGGUGAAAUGCGUAGAUAUAUGGAAGAACACCAGUGGCGAAGGCGGCUUUCUGGACUGUAACUGACGUUGAGGCUCGAAAGUGUGGGUAGCAAACAGGAUUAGAUACCCUGGUAGUCCACACCGUAAACGAUGAGUGCUAGAUGUUCGAGGGUUUCCGCCCUUGAGUGUCGCAGCU
rnacentral:rRNA from 1 species